AUGAGGGCGUCGAAGCGGCCGCUCGGCGUGGUGAUGGCGUGGGUGCGCCGGCAGCCGCCCAAGGUCAAGGCCUUCCUCGCCGUGGUCACCGGCAUGGCCGCGCUCGUCUUCAUCCGCUUCAUCGUCCACGACCACGACAACCUCUUCGUCGCCGCCGAGGCCGUGCACGCGCUCGGCAUCGCCGUGCUCAUCUACAAGCUCACCAAGGAGAGGACCUGCGCCGGACUAUCCCUUAAGACUCAGGAUUUAACUGCAUUGUUUCUAGCUGUUAGACUAUACUGCAGCUUUGUCAUGGAAUAUGACAUCCAUACUGUGUUGGAUACUGCUACACUUGUGGCUACACUUUUUGUUAUCUACAUGAUUCGGUUCAAACUUAGGUCAACUUAUAUGGUGGACAAGGACAACUUUGCAUUGUACUAUGUGGUGAUACCUUGUGCUGUGUUGGCACUAGUUGUUCAUCCUUCAACGUCUCACAACAUCGCAAACCGGUUUAGCUGGGCGUUCUGUGUUUACCUGGAAGCUGUCUCAGUGCUGCCGCAACUGCGUUUGAUGCAAAAUACCAAGAUUGUGGAACCGUUCACAGCUCACUAUGUGUUUGCGCUGGGGGUUGCGAGGUUUCUUAGCUGUGCCCACUGGGUUCUCCAGGUUCUGGACACCCGUGGGCGUCUGUUGACUGCGCUGGGCUACGGGCUGUGGCCAUCCAUGGUUCUCCUGUCAGAAAUCGUGCAGACCUUCAUCCUCGCAGAUUUCUGCUACUACUAUGUGAAGAGCCUGGUCGGCGGGCAGCUGGUGCUACGGCUACCCUCCGGGGUGGUGUAG
rnacentral:rRNA from 1 species